GUGUGGGGUCUAUUCAACGGACUCCGUGCCGUCGCUAACGCAUUAAGUGCCCCGCCUGGGGAGUACGGCCGCAAGGCUAAAACUCAAAGGAAUUGACGGGGGCCCGCACAAGCAGCGGAGCAUGUUGCUUAAUUCGAGGCAACGCGAAGAACCUUACCUGGGUUUGACAUGUAGGGAAAAGCCGUAGAGAUACGGUGUCCUUCGGGGUCCUACACAGGUGGUGCAUGGUUGUCGUCAGCUCGUGUCGUGAGAUGUUGGGUUAAGUCCCGCAACGAGCGCAACCCUUGUCCUAUGUUGCCAGCACGUAAUGGUGGGGACUCGUAGGAGACUGCCGGGGUCAACUCGGAGGAAGGUGGGGACGACGUCAAAUCAUCAUGCCCCUUAUAUCCAGGGCUUCACACAUGCUACAAUGGCCGGUACAAAGGGCUGCGAAACCGCGAGGUGGAGCGAAUCCCACAAAGCCGGUCUCAGUUCGGAUUGGAGUCUGCAACUCGACUCCAUGAAGCUGGAGUUGCUAGUAAUCCCGGAUCAGCAACGCCGGGGUGAAUACGUUCCCGGGCCUUGUACACACCGCCCGUCACACCAUGAAAGUUGGAAACGCCCGAAGCCAGUGGCCCAACCCUUUGGGAGGGAGCUGUCGAAGUGGGGCUG
rnacentral:rRNA from 1 species